ACGGAAGGCAGCAGUGGGGAAUAUUGGGCAAUGGGCGCAAGCCUGACCCAGCAACGCCGCGUGAAGGAUGAAGGUCUUCGGAUUGUAAACUUCAGUCAACAGGGAAGAAACAAAUGACGGUACCUGUGGAGGAAGCCACGGCUAACUACGUGCCAGCAGCCGCGGUAAUACGUAGGUGGCAAGCGUUAUCCGGAUUUACUGGGUGUAAAGGGUGUGUAGGCGGGUUUGCAAGUCAGAUGUGAAAAUUAUGGGCUUAACUCAUAACUUGCAUUUGAAACUGUAGAUCUUGAGUGUCGGAGAGGUAAAUGGAAUUCCCAGUGUAGCGGUGAAAUGCGUAGAUAUUGGGAGGAACACCAGUGGCGAAGGCGAUUUACUGGACGAUUACUGACGCUGAGACACGAAAGUGUGGGGAGCAAACAGGAUUAGAUACCCUGGUA
rnacentral:rRNA from 1 species